rnacentral:rRNA from 1 species
CGCAAUUGCCGGCAGCUACACAUGCAGUCGAGCGGUAGCACAGAGAGCUUGCUCUCGGGUGACGAGCGGCGGACGGGUGAGUAAUGUCUGGGAAACUGCCUGAUGGAGGGGGAUAACUACUGGAAACGGUAGCUAAUACCGCAUAACGUCGCAAGACCAAAGUGGGGGACCUUCGGGCCUCAUGCCAUCAGAUGUGCCCAGAUGGGAUUAGCUAGUAGGUGGGGUAACGGCUCACCUAGGCGACGAUCCCUAGCUGGUCUGAGAGGAUGACCAGCCACACUGGAACUGAGACACGGUCCAGACUCCUACGGGAGGCAGCAGUGGGGAAUAUUGCACAAUGGGCGCAAGCCUGAUGCAGCCAUGCCGCGUGUGUGAAGAAGGCCUUCGGGUUGUAAAGCACUUUCAGCGGGGAGGAAGGCGAUAAGGUUAAUAACCUUGUCGAUUGACGUUACCCGCAGAAGAAGCACCGGCUAACUCCGUGCCAGCAGCCGCGGUAAUACGGAGGGUGCAAGCGUUAAUCGGAAUUACUGGGCGUAAAGCGCACGCAGGCGGUCUGUCAAGUCGGAUGUGAAAUCCCCGGGCUCAACCUGGGAACUGCAUUCGAAACUGGCAGGCUAGAGUCUUGUAGAGGGGGGUAGAAUUCCAGGUGUAGCGGUGAAAUGCGUAGAGAUCUGGAGGAAUACCGGUGGCGAAGGCGGCCCCCUGGACAAAGACUGACGCUCAGGUGCGAAAGCGUGGGGAGCAAACAGGAUUAGAUACCCUGGUAGUCCACGCCGUAAACGAUGUCGAUUUGGAGGUUGUGCCCUUGAGGCGUGGCUUCCGGAGCUAACGCGUUAAAUCGACCGCCUGGGGAGUACGGCCGCAAGGUUAAAACUCAAAUGAAUUGACGGGGGCCCGCACAAGCGGUGGAGCAUGUGGUUUAAUUCGAUGCAACGCGAAGAACCUUACCUGGUCUUGACAUCCACAGAACUUUCCAGAGAUGGAUUGGUGCCUUCGGGAACUGUGAGACAGGUGCUGCAUGGCUGUCGUCAGCUCGUGUUGUGAAAUGUUGGGUUAAGUCCCGCAACGAGCGCAACCCUUAUCCUUUGUUGCCAGCGGUCAGGCCGGGAACUCAAAGGAGACUGCCAGUGAUAAACUGGAGGAAGGUGGGGAUGACGUCAAGUCAUCAUGGCCCUUACGACCAGGGCUACACACGUGCUACAAUGGCAUAUACAAAGAGAAGCGACCUCGCGAGAGCAAGCGGACCUCAUAAAGUAUGUCGUAGUCCGGAUUGGAGUCUGCAACUCGACUCCAUGAAGUCGGAAUCGCUAGUAAUCGUAGAUCAGAAUGCUACGGUGAAUACGUUCCCGGGCCUUGUACACACCGCCCGUCACACCAUGGGAGUGGGUUGCAAAAGAAGUAGGUAGCUUAACCUUCGGGAGGGCGCUACCACUUUGAAUCGGGG